AGUGUGCAUUUCAGAGCUGUAGAAGGCAAGCCAGAUUUUUGCUGGGAAAGACCUUCAUCGGGGCGGCGAAGCCCGCAGUGACAGAGGGUCUUAGCGUACCCGUUCACAUGAAUUGUAAAAACGCACUUACAUGCCAUUCGUUCUUUCAUUUGUUUAGUAGAAUCGUUUGAACCCGGGAGGCGUUCUUUCAUUUCUACGUUCUAAAGAGCUUAAUGUAGCCAUUGGUAUGUCCAAGGGAGAAGUUUGAGAUAUUUGUGCUUUUUAAAGAAAGACAAUAUUUACUCGUGUAUUGUGACGCUAACUAUAAAUAAAAUUUAAGGACUUGGUUGGGGUAAAAGGGAUAUAAGGUGCUCGCAGGAACUGGGAGACGAAGUGGAAAGCUGUAUAAUCUAAACGUGAGAUGGUGUUUAGGGAUUGGGAAUAGCAGAAAAGAAAAAAACGUUAAAGAAAUUGUAAAGGAGAAGAAUAAGGUUUUGUUGUUGUUGUUGUUGUUGUUAUUGUCACAGUGAAAGGAAGAGUAUGACCAGAAUCAAGAGGUUUCUUUGGUUAUCUUUUGAGAUAAAAGGUAGAGAACUAUGUUUGAGGGGAUGGGAAGGGGUUGAAAAAAUAAGUAAACGCAAAUUAUUGUUGGAGGUGAGAAAGGAUGAAUGAGUGCCUCACCAAA
rnacentral:lncRNA from 10 species